AAACGUUGAGCACUGUACGUUAUGAACACGGUGGUGAGAAAAUGGGAACAGCGGUUAUAGUGUACGCGGGAGAAUUGCUGUACGUUGGGAGACGUACACGGGAGAGAGGCUGUACGUUGGGUACACUACACGUUACAAACACAGUGGUGAGAAUAAGGGAACAGCGGGAGAGAGAGUAUAAUGGCUCGUUGGGUACACUGUACCUUACGAACACGAUGGCGAAAGUAAGGCGAAAAGAGUUAGUGUACGCAGGAGAGAGCGUGUAUAACGGCACGUUGUGUACACUGUAGGGGUACGUUAGCAACACGGUGAUGAUAGUAAGGGAAAAGCAGGGAACAGAGUAUAAGGGCCCGUUGGUGCACUGUACGUUGCGAGCACGGUGAUGAGGGUAAGGGAACAGCGGUUAGUGCACGCGGAGGUGAGAGUAAAGAGGCAUAGGCUAUUGUACGAACAUGAUGAUGACAGUGAAGGGACAGCGGUUAUAGUGUACAUGGGAGAGAUGCUGUACAUCAGGCACACUGUAUGUUACGUACACGGUGGUGAGAGUAAGCAGCCAGUGCUGUAAACGUACAAAUGCCCGUCGAAUAUAUAUAUGCACAUACAGCAAAAUGAUGUAAAGUUACAGCUCGACGGCGGUAGCUAUAUAUUGUGAUUGACAACAGAACUUAUGGAUGGAGGUCGCCUGACUGAACCGGGAGGAAACAUGGCAGAGCCGAGAAGAAACAUGACAGAGCUGGGAAAAACGUGACAGGCAUGGAAGGAAACAUGACAGAGUGAUGGGAGGAAACAUGGAAGUCAUUGGAGGAAAUAUAUAUGGCAGAUUCAUGGGAGAAAACAUGGCAGAGCGGGGAGGAAACGUGACAGUAAGGGCACGAAAUAUGGCUGAGUCAUGGAAGGAAACAUGACAGAACCAUGGGUGGAAACAUGACAGAGCGAUGGGAUGAAACAUGAGAGAGUCAUUGGAGUAAAUAAGACAAAGCCAAGAGAGGAAACAUGACAGUAAUGGCAUAUCUCGAGAGAUACGGAUCUCCUGGCGUGAAAUAGAAGGCAAGAAAGCAAGGGAUGGGCUAAGAGGGCGAUGCCUCAUCUCCAGCGAGGACACCUUAUAUCACUCAUCCAGGCAGGGUCAUUUUGGAGUUCAUCACAUAAAAAACAGGGUGUUAUUUCACUGCCUCUCAGCCCUGAUUUACCUGAUGACAACGACGAAGGGGCUAAAUUGAUACAAUAACAUUUCACUUCCUGUAUGGUAUUAUAACAUGUUUUCUAUAAAUAUUUCUCCCAGCUCCCAGUCAUUUUUUGUAAAUAAAAAAAGAGUAACAUGACAUUUAUAUACUAAAACUUUAAUUGCCUUGCAACUAUACAAGAACAUACUUGUUUAAUAACUUAUUUACAUGUAUAUACGUCUGUCCAAAAUUAUGUCAUCAGUUAUGUGAUUCCUGUAUCUCCAAUCCAGUUUGAGACAACAUAAUACACAUUUUGUUUGUAGCCCUAGAUUUACCCAUAGGCAAUCAUUCACGCUGUUAACCACGAUUUUACAAUGCGCCUUAAAAUGAUACAUUCAAAAAAUUAAUCUGUUAAUUUUAACAGAAAGUCUGU